UUUGGUGAAGCUCAGUGGUAGAGUGAGUGCUUAGCAUUCCUGAGGUCCUAGGUUCAAUCUCUGGCACCAAAA
rnacentral:tRNA from 1 species